AACGCCGAGUGCAGUCUUCUGUUUCCUCGGUCUGGUUCUGUGACCCACACUUGAGCUCCUCUGCAGGGCAACACCACAGACUGCAAUUAUGACCACAAAC